GAUGAAGAACGCAGCGAAAUGCGAUAAGUAAUGUGAAUUGCAGAAUUCAGUGAAUCAUCGAAUCUUUGAACGCACAUUGCGCCCGCCAGUAUUCUGGCGGGCAUGCCUGUCUGAGCGUCAUUUCAACCCUCAUGCCCCUAGGGCGUGGUGUUGGGGAUCGGCCAAAGCCCGCGAGGGACGGCCGGCCCCUAAAUCUAGUGGCGGACCCGUCGUGGCCUCCUCUGCGAAGUAGUGAUAUUCCGCAUCGGAGAGCGAUGAGCCCCUGCCGUUAAACCCCCAACUUUCCAAGGUUGACCUCGGAUCAGGUAGGAAGACCCGCUGAACUUAAGCAUAUCAAUAAGCGGAGGA
rnacentral:misc_RNA from 1 species